AUUUGUAUAUGUUUAAUAUAGCAUGUAGUUGUUUUUCUGUAGUUUUUCUAUAUCGGAUGAUAUAGGCUGGCUGGGUCAAGUAAUUUUUCUAUUCUUCUCAUAGAUGGAAUGGAUGAUAUGGAGCGUUCUUGUUUUUUAUGGAUUGUUUCGGUGUCUUUUUCCUCUUUCUUAUUGAUUCUGAAAGUUUAAAGAUUAAGUCUCUUAAUUGUAUCCACCGGAAAUGAGAAUAUUCUCACGAUAUUAAUAGCGGUCUUUUAAUCCCGAUUUUAUUUAUACUUGGUUUUUCUGUUUUGUCGGUUUGAUGUCUUUUAAUGUUCUAGGAAAUUUGGAGGAGAUUUGGACUUGUGGUAGUCUGAAAACUAUCUAGAGCUACUAUUCUCGUUUGUGUUGUUGUUAUUUUGGGCAUCGUUUAGCAAUGUAUCUCUUCUGUUUGAAACCGUUCUGCUACCCUGAAAAUUUUGUUUUCAGUGAACGACCUUCGUAUGAUUUUAGCAUCCACUGGGUAUACAUAAACUUGUCUCAAGCUAAGUAUAUGUGAAAAUUCGGGAUCAGAGAUUCCUACUUUUAAAUAUGUUGUUUUCAACCAAAGUUUUAUGUUGUGUUUUUUAAAUAUCCUGGAUUGUACAGUUGGAGAUUAUUGGUGCAAUGUUCAAAAGUAUGAUCCGAUGUGGGACCAAUGUCUAUGUUCUUAUUAUUCGUUGUUAUAGACCUAUACAGGGUGGUUGGUAACUGGUGGUACAAGCGGAAAGGGGGUGAUUCUACGCGAAAAAAGAAGUCGAAAAUAUAGAAUAGAAAUUUUUCGUUUGAGGCUUUGUUUUCGAGAAAAUCGACUUUGAAUUUUCGCUCGGUACGCGUGCGGUACGUUGUAACGGAUCUCACUGUAGAUCGUUGUCUCGAUAGAAAAAUUAAAAAAAAAAAAAAAUUAAAAAAACAUUUUUAUUCUAUAUUUUCGACUUCUUUUUUCGCGUAGAAUCACUCCCUUUCCGCUUGUACCUCCAGUUACCAACCACCCUGUAUUUCGAUGUUUGGUUUUGGUAAGGGUCAAUUUUUUGUACAAGUACAUGCAAACUCUUUUGUUCGAAAUUCAAUAAAUAUUUUAUUGAUUUAGGUCCUAUUAUAUUUCCGAUGGCUCAAGCAUAUUCUUUGAUUAUGGCUUGAUCCUUAGUUGGUGCGUAUUCAUAUUUUAUGACAUUCACGUAGGAGGUUUUCGGUUCAGUUUCAGUUCAUGAUUUGGGUUCUUUGCUCAGUGAUCGACUAGGAGCCAAGAGUCAGUUGGUGUAGUGGUAUUGAUAUUACUACCACUAUCCUAGUAUCACUAAUAUUAGCACCAUUUCUUUCGCUGCCACUAUCACUUGCUUCCGGAUGGCACAUACUGGAGAUACGUGAUAUUGUCAAAUAUGUCCUAUCGCUAUGGAAGCCAAGGCAAGAUUGUUAAGGAUGUUAUUUGCGUAGUUUAUAGGUUAAACUUAAAAAAAAUA